CUACGAGGUUUUUCUGGGCCACCCCCCGCCCGGGCCUCCGCCUCUGCUGACCUGGCGGCUGUAGAAGGCAGAAGAGGCCUGAAACCUGCAGCAGGAGCACCACCCUGCCCCGCGGCCCCGCGCGCCCUCCAGUGGCGUCAUCCCAUCCGCUUUGAUCUCGACUGGCGCGCCUACCCUCGGCAGCGGCACCCCUUGGGAGCGCAAUCGCGGGCAGACUCCGAGGACCCAUCUUGCGAAAGUUCUGCGAGGUCCUGACUUUAAGGGAACAGGGGUCGUACUUGGGCCAUGGCCGGAAGGGAGAUCCAACAUCCAUGACGACGUCUACCCCCCAGCCUGCCCCUUCAGAGCCCAGUCUGUGCCUUGCGUCAAAGUCAAGCAAGGGCUCUUGUAGGGCACCGAGCCCCAGCCAAAAUCACCCUUUUCUUUCAGAUAGCCCCCACUUACCCCCAGAAACCUUACUCUCUCCCUCGGGAGCAGGUGGGAAGUGAAAGGCCGGGGGGGCUGUUUCUGCUCUGCUUGUCUGUACCUGUGGCCCUUGAGUGGAAAACCCCGCCGCUGGACCAAAGACCUGGAGGCUCCAGGAUUGCCCACUUGGGACCCUGACUAUGAAGGGUCAAGAUAGCCCAUUCUGCCCCAGCACUCAGAGCCCUAUUACCAAGGCCCCUACUCCAAGAAUCCACCAUCAAAACCGGGGCCCUGCCAGUGCCUUCCCAGUGUUCAGGCCUAGGGAAGAAUAGCCCCAUUAUGCCUGUUACUCCUGAUCCUUCUGCAGUCUCUCUCUUUGUGACCCCAUGGCCUUUGCUGCUAUGUCUGCCCUGGCCCCACAGAGUGCCAGGUCAGAGCCACCCUGGCCUACAUAGCAGGGCCCCGGUUCACAGGCUAAAACCUGGGCCUCCUGCCAGGCUGCAACUCCCAGCUGCACACCGCAACCUGAGACAUCUCAGCAUAUUCUAGGAACUAGUAAUGGGGACGCUUCCGACUCGCUGGGGAAGGGAGAUGAGGGCCUCUAGCUCUCCAUGCCCAGUCUCUCAUCAUCAAAGUCAUUUAAGGCCCCAGCGACCCCAGGGUUCAGCAGCAUCCUGUUCAUCAUGAGCAGAGGGGUGACUGAAUAGAAUGGGAGGCAGGUGUGGCCUGAGCAGUUCCCAACCUGAAUUUUCCUUUGAGCUUGGUGAUUUGGGGCGGGGGAUUGAGAUAUUUUCCUUUCACUUGUGGGAAAUCUUGGGGCCCCACAAAUCACUAAGCUGAAGGGAAAAGUCAAGCUGGGAACUACUCAGGGCAAACCUGCCUCCCAUUUUAUUCAGUCACUCCUCUGCUCGCUGAGAUAGACACAUACCUGAUUGCCUCCUUUGGAGAGGCUUGUCAGAAACAAAAUAAUGCAACCAUUUGUCUCUCAGCUACCUGCGACCUGGAAGCCCCCUCCCCACUUCGAGUUGUCCCCGCCUUUCUGGACGGAACCAACGUACUUCUUACAUAUAUCGAUUGAUGUCUCAUGUCUCCUUAAAAUGUAUGAAAACAAACUGUGCCCUGACCACCUUGGGCACAUGUCGCCAGGACUCCCUGAGGCUGUGUCACGGGCACGCAUCUUCAACCUUGGCAAAAUAAAGUUUCUGAAUUAACUGAGA
rnacentral:lncRNA from 10 species